CGGCGGGCGGAAGGCAUCACUUUGUCCGGACUCUAAUUCAAAUUGUAUUCAUCCGAUCUUCACCAAACUUGGUCAGCAGUUGCAUCUAGUUGAUAUCUAGGCCAAGUUCGAAUAUGGGUCAUGCCGGAUCAAAAACUAGGUCAUAGGGUCAAUAAGUUCAUUUUCAAAGGGGCCACUUUGUCAGGACUCUAUUUCAAAUUGUAUUCAUCCGAUCUUCACCAAACUUGGUCAGCAGUUGCAUCUAGUUGAUAUAUAGGCCAAGUUCGAAUAUGGGUCAUGCCGGGUCAAAAACUAGGUCAUAGGGUCAAUUAGUGCAUUUUCAACGGCGCCACUUUGUCCGGACUCUAAUUCAAAUUGUAUUCAUCCGAUCUUCACCAAACUUGGUCAGUAGUUGCAUCUAGUUGAUAUCUAGGUCAAGUUCGAAUAUGGGUCAUGUCGGGUCAAGAACUAGGUCAUAGGGUCAAUUAGUGCAUUUUCAACGGCGCUACUUUGUCCGGACUCUAAUUCAAAUUGUAUUCAUCCGAAACUUUUAAACAACUUUUUAUCCUGCGUCAAAGUGGUAUGGGGGUAUAAGUCACAUUCAGUGACAAAGCUCUAGUUCAAGUUGAAUUCACCAAACUUGGUCAGAGGUAGUAUAUAGAUUAUAUAUCAGUCAGGUCUGAUUGGAGACAUGCAACCGAUUAACACAUGCAAUAUUUUUAUGCAAUAUUUUUAUCCAGUUUUAUUUUGCGAUAUUUUCAUCGGGUUUAUUUUUUUCGCGAUUUUUGAAAUUUUUUUUUGCUUAUUUCCAAAACAAAUACAUCAAUCAUCAGUGUAUCAUCUCCAAUGGCACACGAAUCGGGCGUAUAUUGCUCCGUCAUGCGGCGCUCUUGUUUUAUUUAAUGUUGUUUGUUGCUAACUUGGUAAGUCUUAGAAGUCUGUCUUAAGUGUAUAACAAAUAAUGUUUAACUUUGUUCUUUGAACACUAUGCAUUUUAAAAAUCAAUAUAAGAGACAUUGUUUUUUUUUACUUAAAUGACAUUUUUUAGAAUGUGAUUAAUUACAUGUAUAACAAUAAAUCUAUUUAUUUCUGUUUGCUAUUUUAGUGGCUCGGAUAGAAUUUAUUGUCGCCUACCGGUGAAACCGAAGGGGACUUAAGGUUUGCGCUCCAUGUGUCAGUCAGUCUGUCAGUCUGUCACACUUUUCUGGUUUCUGCGAUAACUUUAAAAGUUCUUCAUAUUUUUUCAUGAAACUUGAAACUUGGAUAGAUGGCAAUAUGGAGAAUUCUGGUUGCUAUGGCAACAAAUAUUUAAAAAAAUAAUUAUUUUUUUUACUAACAAUGGUGGAGUUUAACCGGUAGGGGACAAUAUUGCUUGGCAAACUCUUGUUAUUUGGAAAACUUAUUCAAUAAUAAUAAUAUCUGCUAUUCUAUUAUUAAUGGAUAGUUUUCACAUUAAAUCAAUUUUUUAAUUAAUUUGUAUCAUUUUAAAAUUUGUAUGAUUGUUUUCAAUCACUUGGCGCUUGCUAUGCUUAUGAUAAUUUUGUAUGGAGCGUCUAGAUGAUACAGAGUAAUGAAUAACCAAUUAUGUCCCAGAGGGGGAUAGGGUAUUCAGGUUUAUGUGAAAUAAUAAUUCCUAAGAUAACUCAUUGAAAAGUCAUUCCAGACUUUAAAUAGUAAUUUUGAAAGUAUCUAUAAUAUUGGGCUGCAAAGUGGGACAGGGAUUUAAAGUAAUUUCCUUUAUUUGAAUUUUUGUUGUAUUCGUAACACUGUUUUACCCUAUCAUGAAUUUCCAGAAACUCACAUCAAAUGUUAAGGUCAUGAACAGAAGUCCAUGGGGAAUUAGUCAAGCCAGGUUAAGGUCAAAGUCAUACUUUAAUGAUAAUAGCCUCUCUAUUGUUGUGUCUGAUUCAGCUUUCGAAUACCAUUUGAAGCAUUUACAUUAAGUUAAGAUGAUUUAAGGUCAAUGAAGUCAAUGAGAGAUGUGCACAAGGUCAAAGGUGUGGGCCCAGUCGUUCUCUUCUAUAACCAUGAAAGGAUGUUUAUGAAAAAUUAAUGUCAUGGUAACAAAUUCAGAAGUAGACAAAUCACUGAAACUAAAGGUCCAGAUCACAACAUGAAGGUCAGAAGUAUUGCAGACCGGGAAUAAUCUUUUUGUGGACACUUACAUUUGUGGACUUCAAAUUUUUUGGGAAAAAAAAGGAAUUUGGUAUUGGUCAUUUUCCAAUGUGUUUGUGUACAAUUCCUUGAUUGGUCAAUAUGAAAGUAAUUCAUAAAGCAGAAGACAAGUGUGUAAUCCUCAUCCUGAUUUGAAAAAAAAUAUGAGUGAAAGAU